CAUCCAACAACUGAAGUUAAGCAAUGUCAAGCCUAGUCAGUACCUGGAUGGGUGACCACUUGGGAAUACCAGGUGCUGUAAG